rnacentral:lncRNA from 1 species
AAAAAAAAAAAAAAGUUGAGUGGUGCUGUAUAUAGCUCAGUCUCUGAAGUACAGUAAAACUGUAACUUGUCAGUUGAUAAAAAAUAUAUGUAUACAUACAUAUAUACAUAUAUUUACAAACCAUUAUCAAAAGAAUUUUAUUUAGAAUUUUAUCCCAUUGACCUGCUGAUGUUUUAUUUAAACUACAUCUGAAUCUAUGAAUACUACUUAAGGGCAAAACUGUGGAAUCGAGUUAGUCUCAGGAAAGCUGACAACCAAAGUCUGAGUAUAAACUCUUUUCAAAUCCCUGGCUGAUGAUGUUAACUAUGUGUGGGAGACUGAUAAGAUUCCUAUAGAAAACCACUCAGAAAUCAGAAGAAAAGUUUAAGUUUUAUAAGACAGAGUUGAUCCUGAUAAAAUUUGCAAGGGCCUUCUUCCUUUGAUUAUGUUCUCCAACUUAGGAAUUUCAGGAAAAUCUAAUCUACCUUUGAGAAAAGAAGAGUAAAGAGUUGGGACUGCUCAUACCAUCCACUUAGACAUACUAUAAAGCCAUAUUAAUACAAACUUUAUGUUACCAUUGCAGAUAAAUGAAACAGAGAGGGAGGUCAUGUAAAUAUAAGCACUUAGUACAUAAUAAAGGUAGCACCAAAAUUCAGCGGAAAAUAAUGAAUUUUAAAGUAAAUGAUGUUAGAAAACAAUAGUUUACUAGGUGGAGAAAAAUAUAAAGGUAAAGAUAGAUGAAAUAUGUAAGUAAGAGACACAUACAUGCAUAAAUAACACGCAUAAAACUAACAGAAGAGCAUGCAGGGCAGCAUAUUUAUGCUCAUGGUUUGGAGAAAAGCUUAUAUAGUAUGAACUCAAAAGAGGAAAAAAUAUUAAAGGCAAAAAUAGGCAUAACUAUAUCAAAAUGAUGAUUUUUAUUUACUGAGAGACAAAAUUAUGUAAAGACAUAUUUGUAUCACAAAACCUGGCAAGAGAGUAAUAUUUAGAACAUUAGAUUAUCUUUAGUAAAUGAAGCAGGAAAAGAGAAAGAACCUACUAAAAAUGGAUGAAAGCUAUAAAAAAGACAUUCAAAGAAGUUAGAAGAUAAACUCAUUUAAACAUUAAAAAGUUCAAUAAAUCAGACAUUGUGAGGAUGGCAAGAGAAAUGGGAAUUUUCAUACAUUGCUACUCAGUAUGUAGGCUGGUGAGAUUUGGUUUCAAAGUGCAAAGUCUAAAAUCACUAUGUUACAGCUGACUGUCAGUGCGACAAGACGUUAAAAACUACGUGGUUACUAAUCAUAAAAUAUUCCACUUAAUUAGUCCUACAAAACCAAAAUAUAACAGUAAUAUAAAAAGGUAUGUCCACACAGAGAGUUUUGCCAGUCAAGUUCUACUUGAAAAAGUAUUCCUCAGUGUUGGUAAAUGAUGAUGUCAAUCAAAAGUUAGAAAAAGAGCUAUGUUUAUGCCUCAUGUUGGUCCACAAGAGACAAAUAAUUUUUAAUGUAUUAUUAACUCUACUUUUCCUUUUGAUAAAAUUUAAUCUUUCCUCCUAUAGCAAAUUUAACUUUCAGAUUACAAAAUACUUUCACAUGCAUGGGCUUGAUACUCAUAGCUCAAAUGAUAAAAUCACAUAAUAUUUAAUGGUAAGGUUUUCCAAAUUACACCUAAAUUGUUUUUCAUUAAACAUAUUAUGCAAUAAUAUAAUAGGUUUUUGCUUUGGGACAAUCAUACCAAAUGAUACUUUCCAUAGUGAGCUGUAAUUACACAGAAGAGUAUAUUUUACUUCUUCUGUGUGCAAACUCGGAUGAAACUGUUCAAAUAUUUAGCAUUAUGUUUUUAUUCCCAUUUACCCAAGUGAUAAUUACUAUAUCAGAAGAUUAAAUGGAAGGAGAGACUGAAAAUAUGCAAAGAAUCUAACAAAAAAUCAAUAUUUAAUAAACUUUGCAUUUUAGGGAAAAAAAAUGAGGGAAGGAUGAAAUGUGCCCUUUGUAGUAGGUUUAACACAAACUUUUCAAUUUCAGGCUUGAAUUUCAAUUUGCUGAGCAAACUUUCUCUGUUUGGACAUGUUUUCGUCUCUUCUGGCUCAGCUCCAUUUCUAUUGAUGCCUAAAGGAUUUGUGUGAGUUGGCUCACAUUUACAAAGCACCCAGUGUGAAAUGGUAUUUUACUCCCUGUGCAUUCAUUUUUUUUUCUCUAUUUUUUCUUUUGUUGUUAGUUAGGAAUUGACAGGAGCUUCACACUGAGAUGAAAGUCAUCAAGAAUACCUAUCAUGGAAGAAAAACAUCCUUGAUUCCACUAGAAAGUAAGGAACAGCAGAAACUGGCUGUCUGCUCCUGACCAUCCAAACAUGGUCCUGAGGUUUUAAUAAUACACUUGGUUCAGAAAUCCCACCUUCUUUGAAUUAAAGUAAUAACAUUGAACAUGGGUAUUUAAACCAGUUGACCAGAAAUUGACCAAAACUUGCUUACAUACAUAGAAGGAGAAUUUAGAAAUGAAGUGGGAGAGACAAGAGUUGUUCUUUCAUAAUGAGAACAGAUUUGAAGUGAUUGUUUUAUCCAAGAAGUAACAGCACUACUUAGCAACCUCAAAUUCCAUAUACAGUCAACUUGUCAACGUCCUAUCUUUGAAAAA